GGCACUGGUGGUGGCACACCCAGCACUGCUGGGUCAGGGUUCGAGUCCCUGUGGUGUC
rfam:Myotis brandtii contig193756, whole genome shotgun sequence.